rnacentral:sRNA from 1 species
GCUGGAUGUGUUGGCACACACCUGUAAUCCCAGAUAUUUGAGAGGCUGAGGCAGGAGGAUUGCAAAUUUGAGGCCAGCCUUAGCAAGAACCCGUCUCAA